rnacentral:ncRNA from 1 species
ACUAGGAGUAGAAGCGGCCUGUAAUAGCAAGGAACUCAUGUUCCUAGGCUAUUGCUGGGCAUUGCUCCAAUA